rnacentral:lncRNA from 1 species
UAUAUAAGCUCAAACGGUCUUAACUCCGUUCAAUAUUUAAUUAACCCAUUUAAUUAAAUUCGAUCCAUGAAUUAAUUAAUCAAAUUAAUUAAUUCGAGCCUAUUAAUAAGCAACCCAAUUAAUUAAUUAUCUAACACUUGUUAAUUAAUUAGUUGGUAAAUCUCGUUCUUCUAGCUCUCCUUUUGUGUGUGACAUAUUAGAUUCUCAAUUAUGAUGCCAAACGACGUGAAUCAUUAUUUUGAUCUAUUCAAAAUCAAUAAAUUGUAACACCCAUUUUAAUGUAUCACCAAUUCACAUUCGUCGUCCAAGAUUAACAUCUAACAAUGUGUUAGGGCAGUCCAUGUGACAAAAAAUGUCACAUGGUAUGACAAAACCAAACUUGUUCGUUUAUUGUGAAACUAUAAUCCAUUUAUCAAUAUGAUACGAUCAAUUACUAGAUAUGGAUAAGUGUCAAUGUUAAUUAUCGAUCAUAUCUUUCAUUCCACUAUUAAGUCAAUACAAGUCAAAAAUGAAAUUCAUUUUCACUUAUGAGUACACCUUCGCCAAGAAUUUCGUUAUCAACUUUUUUUUUUUUUUAAGCAAAUACCACUAGUGUGGCUUAUUUCGUUAUCAACUUAACUGAAUGAAAUAUAGGUCAUAAUUUCUUACUAUCUAAAAGUGACGAAUUCUUUAUUGAUCAUUCACAACCUUCAUAUGAUCCUUAACAUACCCGAAUGAUGUUGUAUUAGCAGCCCUUAAUAGAGCAACAUCCAAUAUCACCAAAAUAUAAUUGCCCUCAUGUAAGGCACUGCGAUGACCUCAAGUCAAAUGACCAAUUCCACUACCAAAAGUUAAAAAUUAACCACUAACACUCAAAUAGUUAUCCUUGUGGAAUCUCCCACUGGAUCUCUAAUGUUUUGUUCUAUAACAAAACAUCCACUUGUUCAUUUUAAGUAUCAUCACAUUUUAGCUUGUGAAAUCAGCUAGUUACUUCAUAAGUAAGAAAUGCCACACGUGAUAGUCUAUCCGUAAUAACGAUAUCCAUAUCUCAUCAUUACAUACGACCAUGGAUAAUUUAAGAUUCAAUCAUAUUUAAUUUGUAUUUCACAAUCUCAACUUUUU